rnacentral:rRNA from 1 species
CAGUAAGGAAUAUUGGUCAAUGGACGCAAGUCUGAACCAGCCAUGCCGCGUGGAGGAUUAAGGCCCUCUGGGUUGUAAACUCCUUUUAUCUGGGAAGAAAUGUACUUUUUCUUGAGUACUUGACGGUACCAGAGGAAUAAGCACCGGCUAACUCCGUGCCAGCAGCCGCGGUAAUACGGAGGGUGCAAGCGUUAUCCGGAUUCACUGGGUUUAAAGGGUGCGUAGGUGGGCAGAUAAGUCAGUGGUGAAAUCUCCGGGCUUAACCCGGAAACUGCCGUUGAUACUAUUUGUCUUGAAUAUUGUGGAGGUAAGCGGAAUAUGUCAUGUAGCGGUGAAAUGCUUAGAUAUGACAUAGAACACCAAUUGCGAAGGCAGCUUACUACACAAUCAUUGACGCUGAGGCACGAAAGCGUGGGGAUCAAACAGGAUUAGA